UGGGGAAUAUUGCACAAUGGGCGAAAGCCUGAUGCAGCAACGCCGCGUGAGUGAUGAAGGCCUUCGGGUUGUAAAGCUCUGUCUUUUGGGACGAUAAUGACGGUACCAAAGGAGGAAGCCACGGCUAACUACGUGCCAGCAGCCGCGGUAAUACGUAGGUGGCAAGCGUUGUCCGGAUUUACUGGGCGUAAAGGAUGCGUAGGCGGAUUUUUAAGUGAGAUGUGAAAACCCUAAGCUUAACUUGGGGACUGCAUUUCAUACUGGAAAUCUAGAGUGCGGGAGAGGAGAAUGGAAUUCCUAGUGUAGCGGUGAAAUGCGUAGAGAUUAGGAAGAACACCAGUGGCGAAGGCGAUUCUCUGGACCGUAACUGACGCUGAGGCAUGAAAGCGUGGGUAGCAAAACAGGAUUAGAUACCCUGGUAGUCCACGCCGUAAACGAUGAGUACUAGGUGUAGGAGGUAUCGACCCCUUCUGUGCCGCAGUUAACACAAUAAGUACUCCGCCUGGGAAGUACGAUCGCAAGAUUAAAACUUAAAUGAAUUGACGGGGUCAUAGCUGUUUCCU
rnacentral:rRNA from 1 species